rnacentral:lncRNA from 1 species
CACAAAAGCCCCUUGCACAAUUCCCUUGCACGAGACCCCUUGCACAAGACCCACUCAUGAGUAUCCUUGUAUAAAGCCCAUUCACUAGGCCCCUUGCACAAGUCCCUUGCACGAGGCCCCUUGCACAAGGCCCACUCACACGUGCCCUUGUACAAAGCCCAUUCACUAGGCCCCUUGCACAAGACCCUUUUCACAAGUCCCUUGCACAAGGCCCCUUGCACAAGGCCCAUUCACAAGGUCCCUUUCACGAGUCCCUUGCACCAAUCCCCCACACAAGGGCUUUUCACAAGGCUCCAUUCACGAGGCCCCAUUCUUGACCCCCCCUUGCACAAGUCCCUUGCACAAGUCCCUUGCACGAGGCCUCUUGCACAAUGCCCCUUUCACGUGGCCGCCAAGUGCCCCC